UACGAAGGGUGCAAACGUUAUUCGGAAUCACUGGGCGUAAAGGGUGCGUAGACGGUAUGUUAAGUUCGUUGUUAAAGGCUCCGGCCCAACCGGAGUAUUGCGAUGAAAACUGGCACACUAGAGGGUGAGAGAGAGAAGUGGAAUUCCCGGAGUAGCGGUAAAAUGCGUGGAUCUCGGGAGGAACACCAAUGGCGAAGGCAGCUCGCUGGGACGGUACUGACGCUGAGACGCGAAAGCGUGGGGAGCAAACAGG
rnacentral:rRNA from 1 species